UCAGACAAGUUGGGGACCCCAUCAGACCUAAGGUGGAUUUACAAGGACAUCACUUCCUGGCAUGCUUUGAUGAAUGUGGAACGGUAGCCGAGAACAGCAUGGGGAGGCUGAUGGGACAGAGUUUGAUCUCUCUCAUCAUCAGGAAUCUUUUUUUUUUGUCAUACAGGGCAGAGAGAAGGUAUGGAUCAGUGGCUCUAGAGGGCCAGGCUUCUAGCAUCAGGCUGUAACAGUGCUGUUAGUCCUCUCACGGAUGCCCACCGUGGCCCACCCUCUCACUCUCUCAGCAGCUCAUUGCCUGAACCAACUGGAGGAAACAGUGAAAUUCCUGUCACUCCAGUCUGUGGCCUCACAGUGGAGCCGCCUGGGAAGGGACAGCUGGCCCCGAAGAGGGCAUACACACUGGCUGCCCUGAUCAGCCGAUUGUCCAGGUUGUCCCUUUACAGAUAUGCUUAUAGACUGUCAUCAAGUGUAACAGUUGUAACUACUUGGCAAAAGAUACUGUCAAAUUUUCUCUGAGAACACAAGCCACAGGCACUCAGCAGCCCCACAGGAAGACACUGUCGUGGACAUAGAUGCUCUCCACUGAGGAUAGCCAUUGUGGAUGCCUAUAGCCCUGCCAUGGAGGGCGGUAAAGAACCUCAAACUACUCAAACUCACCCUUGGUUUUGUGCACAUUGGACAUUGUGAACAGGAAGGACAAGCCCGUUACAGAUUGAAAUAUUUCCGUGGUUGGGAGCUGCACUCACCAUGGGCAUAAGAGGACUCGGCCAGAGCAGGCAGAGGCCCCCAUCACUGAAAGUACAUGGCGGGUGGAGUGGAGGGAGUAACAGAACUGGAAGUGGUGCUUCAGCUGUGGCUCUGGAUGGAGAAUGGCCAAAAGGACUGGCAUCAGUACCUCUGAAGUCAGGGGCUCUGGAAAGCCCUACCCAUAGGCAGCAGAUAGGACCAGGGAAGACACCAGGCCUGUGUGCUACAUUUCCGGUGCUUGCUCUGCUUGGUUUCCAGCAGAUCCUGGGUCACAGGGACCAUCUGCGCAUCGCAGUGUUCUUAAUCCACACGAGUAAUUGUAGCCUUGGAUCACAGGAAUUCACUCACAUGGCACGGGAGAUAAGAGAUGAAGGGACUGCUUCAUGCAUGCAAUGGAGACUGGCAUGGAGUGAUCCCUGGGCUUGCCCCUGCACACAGCAGGACACCACUACCAUGUCUAGUGUUAGACUAUUCAGGACACAGAUGAAUACAUGUAAUGAAAAGGCCAGUUCAGUAGCAAACACAACACCUGAAUCAGCAGCUGCAGUCGGGUCCACUCAGUAGACAACACUCACGAAUCAGCAACUGCAGUUCAACCCAGAAGAAGCCGUGAAGCUCUCCGACCAGCCUGAGUCUAGCCAAAGUGGCAAGAAGCUGCAGGACCAUCACAGGAAGUUCUUCAUCGAGUUUCUCUCUAUGAAGUCACCACAAGCGAAGCUCAACA
rnacentral:lncRNA from 1 species